rnacentral:tRNA from 1 species
ACAAAGUUGGCAGAUAAUGCUUUUGGCUUAGGACCAAACCAUGUGGGUUAAAAGUCCCAUACUUUGUU